UCAUGCACCUGGCCACUACUAUACUAAAAUUGGAAAGAUACAGAGAAGAUUAGCAUGGUCCCUGGGACAAGGAUGACAUGCAAAUUCAUGAAGCAUUAAAAUGAAUA